rnacentral:tmRNA from 1 species
GGGGCUGAUAUAGCUUUUGACAGAAGGAUUUUAAUAGUUCGCCAAGCAAGUCGACCACUGACGUAAUCAGUAUCAAUAAAUGCAAACUUUGCAGAAAAAGCAAAGGCGUUUGCUGCAUCUUUGAUGCCAAAGCAGGCCGCUUUUGCGACAGUUGCCUAAAUAGUAGGUAGCCAUAUUCUGCGCUGAUUUCUACUGAGCGCAAGAAUGUGUCAGAGAUUUUGUAGGACAAUACCAAAGCUUGUAUCGACUUUGGUUGGAUAGUAGAUACUUGCGGCUAUGCUUAUUUGUGACUGUUUUUGAGAGUAUAGACGCAUAAAAACAGCAAGAUAGUCUAAACUUGUAGACGGGCGAACGAUUACCUUUUGGACCCGGGGGCGGUACCCGGCAGCUCCACCA